GGAUGACAUCAUGGGAGCCGAGUGAGUGCCGGCUCCGAGAGGGGGACUGAGAAGGGGAGGGGGAGCAGAGGAGGGACGAGGGCUGGGGAGCGGAGCCAGAUCCGGGCUGCCUGCCACCGGUGCACGUCCACUAGCUGGGGAGGAGCGCUCCACCAGCUACUGACAAAGGAUGGGAGGAUGCCGGUUCCCCGGGAUGCCGGCCGCGCGCAGCCUGGUGGCCGCCUGAGCCACUUCACCCUCCGCCGAAAUAAUCUGUAUGGAUGAAAUUCAGCCCAGAUCAUGUACUUCAUU
rnacentral:lncRNA from 1 species